rnacentral:tRNA from 1 species
ACCGCAGGUUGCGGAACGGCUCUGACCUGCGGGUGAACGAUCCUGUACCGCUCUGAACAGGGCUUUGGGGAACUCGUAAUGCGUAGGUCAAGGGUUCGAUUCCCUUAGGCGGCUCCA